rnacentral:tRNA from 1 species
ACGUGCGUGGCUUAGUGGCUAGGGUAUUUGGUUUACGAUCAUAAAGCCGUGAGUUCGAUUCCCGGCUGCACGUU